GAAAUAAAAACUCCAACCGAGCGGUCACGAUCGAACUAUUCCGAGCGGAUCCGAGGAGAACCGCCAGGACCAGGGCCGUUCCGGAACCAGAAUCGGUUCCAUCUGUUCCUCUGACGGGUUGUAUGGGAUAUUUUGUUUUUAAUACGUCUCGCCAAGUUGCACCGGAUUUCAACAUCAUGGAGAAUAAGUGUAAAUUGGCCAAUUUGUCAGUUGUUCCCGAUCUGGCCAUCCAACCCAGAAUGCGUGGAGUGUACCGGUUUUGCGGAUUCCUCAGCACUUUUGUCGGAUUUGAUGGCAGCGGAGGCUGAAGGCAGUUUAUCAUCGGCGAUUCCUGUUCAAGAUUCCGAGUUCGAGUCGCGGAAGUUGAGAUCUGCUGGCCGCGGACGGGGAAUCGGCCAUGGAGUCGGCGGGCAAGUCACUCGGAACGAAAACGGCGACUCGCUUCUGGAAGGCUUUGAAUGGUGAAUUCCGGAGGAACAAUUUAAGUGCUUAGAGGCAGUUUAUAUUUCCCAGUGGACAUAAUUGAAGUGUACUGAUUAUUUUUAAUGUAUUUUUAACGAUUUUUUUUGAAUAAAACUGGCUUUUUUGCAUUGUU